CAUAGCUUAGUGGCAUAGUGUCUGCCUUUCAAGCAGAAGGUUCAAAGUUCAAUCCCAGGCAUCUCCCA